ensembl:miRNA
GCCAACUGCUAGGAGCCCGACACGUACGCUAGGGGCUGGCCCAAAAGUUCGUUCGGUUUUUCUGCCCAAUGUUGGC